AGGAUUAUUAUUAUUAUUAUUAUUAUUAUUAUUAUUAUUAUUAUUAUUAGUAUUAUUAUUUACUUCGGUGAGCUGUUAGAAUCGUUAGCGCCA